GAUGAACGCUCGCGAUAGGCUUAACACAUGCAAGUCGAGGGGCAGCACAAGGUAGCUUGCUAUCUGGGUGGCGACCGGCGCACGGGUGCGUAACGCGUAUGCAACUUGCCCUAUACAGGAGGAUAACCCGUCGAAAGACGGACUAAUACUGCGUAUGCUCACAACUUGGCAUCAAGUGGUGAGGAAAGAAGUUCGGUAUAGGAUAGGCAUGCGUCCCAUUAGCUUGUUGGUGAGGUAACGGCUCACCAAGGCAACGAUGGGUAGGGGAACUGAGAGGUUUAUUCCCCACACUGGUACUGAGACACGGACCAGACUCCUACGGGAGGCAGCAGUGAGGAAUAUUGGUCAAUGGGCGCGAGCCUGAACCAGCCAAGUCGCGUGAAGGAUGACUGUCUUAUGGAUUGUAAACUUCUUUUAUACGGGAAUAACAAGAGUCACGUGUGACUCCCUGCAUGUACCGUAUGAAUAAGCAUCGGCUAACUCCGUG
rnacentral:rRNA from 1 species